rnacentral:rRNA from 1 species
AUGCUCCUUCUCCAAAGCCUUGGGCAGCGCACCGCCGGCACAUCUCGCCACCGUUCUCGCGCCUGGUCGUUGUCCUCAUCCCAGGAGCUCGAGGCUCGCCUCAGAUCGACCGGCUUCCAGCUCCAGCCUCCCCUAGGUAUCCUCCACCGCCUGCUGCUACUUCUCUCCUCCGACGGCUGCAGCAAGCCAUUCCUGCUGGUGCUCGCCUCAGCCACUGACCAUGAGGCAGAAGAAGUCCGUCACAAGGUGUAUGAGACUUCGGAGCUUCUAUAUGCAACAGCAAGAAGUGAGGAGGAACAAAUGAACCAUAAAAAGCUUAAAUUUGAACUCUGUUGUUGGAAGUGGAUAAGUCAAUGGCAAAAGCAGCAACGUGGCCACAAGGAAGCUGAGGAGGUUUUCCAAAGAUACACAAGUUAA